rnacentral:misc_RNA from 1 species
AAAGUCGUAACAAGGUAACCGUAGGUGAACCUGCGGUUGGAUCAUUAAUAAAUCUAGAAGGUCUUCAAGACCUUUCUAACAUCUUGUGAAUCGUUUAUCGUCUCUGGCAGAUUCUGUCUGCCGAGUAAACCCCUGCAUAAUUUUUGUCUAAAAAAUAAAAUAAAAGUAAUUAAAACAACUUUUGACAACGGAUCUCUAGGCUCUC